rnacentral:rRNA from 1 species
GACAGAGGUGCCAAGCGUUUAGGCGGAAUCACUGGGCUUAAAGCGUGUGUAGGCGGAUUUGUAAGUACCUUGUGAAAUCCCAUGGCUCAACCAUGGAACUGCUCGGUAUACUGCGAAUCUUGAGCCACUUAGGGGCUACCGGAACAAAUGGUGGAGCGGUGAAAUGCGUAGAUAUCAUUUGGAACGCCAAUGGUGAAAACAGGUAGCUGGGAGUGUGCUGACGCUGAGACACGAAAGCCAGGGGAGCGAACGGG